rnacentral:lncRNA from 1 species
UCCGUAACUCACUUAUCUUCAUUUAGGGGGAAGAGAGGAGAAAUGAGUUUAACUGACACCUCGUUUGCACGAUCAUAGCAUAUAUGUAAGAUGCGAAGUGCCUCGGAGUGCAAGGAGUCCAGGCCACUACCACUCAUGGCACUCUAUCGGGUCAAAAAUCCAAGUUGCGACCUCAAGCAUUGAUCAACAUCAACCUACUCUGAUAUCAACUGUUAUAGACUAAACAGGAGAGCCUGACCCAAAAGGCUUGCCUAUUAGGUGGGAGAGCCCAUUUAGACUAUAAAUCUAGUACUUCUAGUCUUUUCAAUCAAUGAAAGAUUCAAUUGCUUCACAACAUAUGACAUUACAGAGAGAAUCAAAGGUAUACUAUGUAAAGAGAAGUAACUAAAAACAGGCAGAAAAUGUAUGCUACUAGAUUUAUAUAUUCAUCAUAAUGUCUAUCGAAAAAAAAUAAUCUUUCAAAGACAGAACUUUGGAAACUGAGACCUAUGCCAAACUCUGCAACCUUUAGUAGGCGGUAGAAGUCAGUAAUCAAUGCUGACUGACAAGUGACAAGUAGACUAUAUUUCUACCCACAAGUUUAGAGUGAAAGGGAGUCCCAAUAAAAUGUUUUAAACUAUGAUACUGCUAAUCACUCCCUUAUUCUUUCGGGAUCAAUCGCCAUAUUACUAAAACUCGGCACAAUGUAAACGUACAGAGAACAGGAAACACCAGACUUCUGGAAAUAUACUAACAUAGCUUGUCUAUGUUGUAUAUCUCAGAAAGCAACAAUAGGCAACAGCAAUACAAUACCUCAAUGAAUCCAAUUCCUUUCUUUGCAGCUUCCUGCCCAGCUCUUACUCCAUGUGUCUAGCAAUCAACACAAAAAUCAGGAAGAAAUAAGUGCAAGAUAGAAAAUGUAAAAGUGGUUGCUGUGCUGUUAAAUAAAAAAUGCAUUUCAAACUCAUUAUGCCAUAGAGUCACCAUUCCAGUAACCUGAAACAAUGGCUGUAUGAAGGAUUUUGACAAGAAAAGGUGUUAUCAGCUGAAGAUUAUUAUAGCAAGUACAAAGUACAAAAUUGAGGCAAUGUAUAUGGAUAUAUGAGCUUAGGAUUUCCAUAUCGGCUACACAACUUCAUAGUGAGAACGGAUGCUUGCAAUGCCAAGUUCCAAAACAGAGACUUUUGUUAUUCUCAAAUGGAGCUCACACCAGAGGGGUGGAGGGGCGCGGAGAAGUAACCCCAAAAUCAUUCUUGCACCAAUAUGUAUCAGGCAAGUCAUUCUUUCUCCUCCACCUCACAGUACAGUAUAAUCAGCAGUAAUAUGCAAAUUGUACCUUUUAACAUGUUAAAUGGUCAAUGCCAUAAACACAUUGCAGCUGCAUGUAAGCUCUUUCUCUGCCUCUUGAGACAUGAAAGA